rnacentral:rRNA from 1 species
AGCGGCGGACGGGUGAGUAAUGCCUGGGAAAUUGCCCUGAUGUGGGGGAUAACCAUUGGAAACGAUGGCUAAUACCGCAUAAUAGCUUCGGCUCAAAGAGGGGGACCUUCGGGCCUCUCGCGUCAGGAUAUGCCCAGGUGGGAUUAGCUAGUUGGUGAGGUGAGGGCUCACCAAGGCGACGAUCCCUAGCUGGUCUGAGAGGAUGAUCAGCCACACUGGAACUGAGACACGGUCCAGACUCCUACGGGAGGCAGCAGUGGGGAAUAUUGCACAAUGGGCGCAAGCCUGAUGCAGCCAUGCCGCGUGUAUGAAGAAGGCCUUCGGGUUGUAAAGUACUUUCAGCAGUGAGGAAGGCAGGUACGUUAAUAGCGUGCUUGUUUGACGUUAGCUGCAGAAGAAGCACCGGCUAACUCCGUGCCAGCAGCCGCGGUAAUACGGAGGGUGCGAGCGUUAAUCGGAAUUACUGGGCGUAAAGCGCAUGCAGGUGGUUUGUUAAGUCAGAUGUGAAAGCCCGGGGCUCAACCUCGGAAUUGCAUUUGAAACUGGCAGA